GACGAACGCUGGCGGCAGGCUUAACACAUGCAAGUCGAACGAGUGGCGGGCGGGUGAGUAAUGCUUGGGCAUCUAGCUUAUGGUGGGGGAUGACUACGGGAAACUGUAGCUAAUACCGCGUACCAUAGGAUGAGCCCAUGUGGGAUUAGCUAGUUGGUGGGGUAAAGGCCUACCAAGGCGACGAUCGGUAGCGGGUCUGAGAGGAUGAUCGGCCACACUGGGACGGAGACACGGCCCAGAGGCCUACGGGAGGGAGCAGUGGGGAAUUUUGGACAAUGGGGGGGAGCCUGGUCCAGUCAGGCCGCGUGUGUGACGAAGGCCUUCCGGUUGUAAAGGACUUUUGUCAGGUAAGCGGUACCUGAAGAAUAAGCACCGGCUAACUACGUGCCAGCCGCCGCGGUAAUUC
rnacentral:rRNA from 1 species